UGCCAGCCGCCGCGGUAAUACGGAGGGUGCGAACGUUAAUCGGAAUUACUGGGCGUAAAGCGCGCGUAGGCGGUUUGUUGAGUGGGAUGUGAAAGCCCCGGGCUCAACCUGGGAAUUGCAUUCCAAACUGGCAAGCUAGAGUUUGAUAGAGGGAGGUAGAAUUUCCUGUGUAGCGGUGAAAUGCGUAGAUAUAGGAAGGAAUACCAGUGGCGAAGGCGGCCUCCUGGAUCAAAACUGACGCUGAGGUGCGAAAGCGUGGGGAGCAAACAGGAUUAGAUA
rnacentral:rRNA from 1 species